rnacentral:rRNA from 1 species
GGACUACCGGGGUUUCUAAUCCUGUUCGCUCCCCACGCUUUCGCUCCUCAGCGUCAAUGUCGGCCCAGACCACCGCCUUCGCUGCUGGUGUUCUUCCUGAUAUCUGCGCAUUUCACCGCUACACCAGGAGUUCCGUGGUCCCCUACCGAAUUCUAGUCAUGGCAGUAUCGAUCGGCAGCUCCAGGUUGAGCCUGGAGAUUUCACAAUCGACUUACCAAACCGCCUACGAGCUCUUUACGCCCAAUAAAUCCGGACAACGCUUGCACCCUACGUAUUACCGCGGCUGCUGGCAC